GAUGAACGCUGGCGGCGUGCCUAAUACAUGCAAGUCGAGCGAACGGACGAGAAGCUUGCUUCUCUGAUGUUAGCGGCGGACGGGUGAGUAACACGUGGAUAACCUACCUAUAAGACUGGGAUAACUUCGGGAAACCGUAGCUAAUACCGGAUAAUAUUUUGAACCGCAUGGUUCAAAAGUGAAAGACGGUCUUGCUGUCACUUAUAGAUGGAUCCGCGCUGCAUUAGCUAGUUGGUAAGGUAACGGCUUACCAAGGCAACGAUGCAUAGCCGACCUGAGAGGGUGAUCGGCCACACUGGAACUGAGACACGGUCCAGACUCCUACGGAAGGCAACAGUAGGGAAUCUUCCGCAAUGGGCGAAAGCCUGACGGAGCAACGCCGCGUGAGUGAUGAAGGUCUUCGGAUCUUAAAACGCUGUUAUUAGGGAAGAACAUAUGUGUAAGUAACUGUGCACAUCUUGACGUUACCUAAUCAGAAAGCCACGGCUAACUACGUG
rnacentral:rRNA from 1 species